GGGAGCGGAUGGUUGCUGGUGUGGCCCCCGGUCUUCAAAACCGUGUGUGGCGUCUUUGGGCGCUGGGUGGGUUCGAUUCCCACACGUUCCCGCCA
rnacentral:tRNA from 1 species